rnacentral:rRNA from 1 species
GACGAACGCUGGCGGCGUGCUUAACACAUGCAAGUCGAACGGAAAGGCCCUGCUUUUGUGGGGUGCUCGAGUGGCGAACGGGUGAGUAACACGUGAGUGACCUGCCCUUGACUUUGGGAUAACUUCAGGAAACUGGGGCUAAUACCGGAUAGGAGCUCCUGCUGCAUGGUGGGGGUUGGAAAGUUUCGGCGGUUGGGGAUGGACUCGCGGCUUAUCAGCUUGUUGGUGGGGUAGUGGCUUACCAAGGCUUUGACGGGUAGCCGGCCUGAGAGGGUGACCGGCCACAUUGGGACUGAGAUACGACCCAGACUCCUACGGGAGGCAGCAGUGGGGAAUAUUGCACAAUGGGCGGAAGCCUGAUGCAGCAACGCCGCGUGCGGGAUGACGGCCUUCGGGUUGUAAACCGCUUUCGCCUGUGACGAAGCGUGAGUGACGGUAAUGGGUAAAGAAGCACCGGCUAACUACGUG